CAGUAGCCGCGGGAAAACAGAGGGUGCGAGCGUUAAUCGGAUUUACUGGGCGUAAAGCGUGCGUAGGCGGCUAAUUGAGUCGGAUGUGAAAUCCCCGAGCUUAACUUGGGAAUUGCAUUCGAUACUGGUUAGCUAGAGUGUGGGAGAGGAUGGUAGAAUUCCAGGUGUAGCGGUGAAAUGCGUAGAGAUCUGGAGGAAUACCGAUGGCGAAGGCAGCCAUCUGGCCUAACACUGACGCUGAGGUACGAAAGCAUGGGGAGCAAACAGGAUUAGAGACCCCCGUAGUCCCUGUCUCUUAUAC
rnacentral:rRNA from 1 species